rnacentral:tRNA from 1 species
GCCUGGCUGGCUCAGUCCGUGUAGAGCGUGCGACUCUUGAUCUCAGGGUGGAGAGUUCGAGCCUCACGUCGGGCG